CUCCCAGAAAACUAAAAACUUAAUGCGUGGGGUUUAGGGAUAAUUAGGUGAAUUAGCAUAUAAAUUUGCUUUUUGGCAGCCCAAAUGGGUAUCCGUCAAAAGGGUAAAAUAUCCAAUGCAAUGAGAGUGGAGAAAAAAGGCAUUAGGAGGUGAAAAAGGACAGCAGCAAUUAGACCCAGAAGCAGAGACGCUCAUGUGAGGCUGACUGCAUGUUAAGGG
rnacentral:misc_RNA from 1 species